rnacentral:rRNA from 1 species
GACGAACGCUGGCGGCGUGCUUAACACAUGCAAGUCGAACGGAAAGGCCCUGCUUUUGUGGGGUGCUCGAGUGGCGAACGGGUGAGUAACACGUGAGUAACCUGCCCUUGACUUUGGGAUAACUUCAGGAAACUGGGGCUAAUACCGGAUAGGAGCUCCUGCUGCAUGGUGGGGGUUGGAAAGUUUCGGCGGUUGGGGAUGGACUCGCGGCUUAUCAGCUUGUUGGUGGGGUAGUGGCUUACCAAGGCUUUGACGGGUAGCCGGCCUGAGAGGGUGACCGGCCACAUUAGGACUGAGAUACGGCCCAGACUCCUACGGGAGGCAGCAGUGGGGAAUAUUGCACAGUGGGCGGGAGCCUGAUGCAGCAACGCCGCGUGCGGGAUGACGGCCUUCGGGUUGUAAACCGCUUUCGCCUGUGACGAAGCGUGAGUGACGGUAAUGGGUAAAGAAGCACCGGCUAACUACGUG